UAAUACAGAGGGUGCGAGCGUUAAUCGGAAUUACUGGGCGUAAAGGGCGCGUAGGCGGUCAAGAGAGUGUGAUGUGAAAGCCCCGGGCUUAACCUGGGAAGCGCAUCGCAAACGCCUUGACUGGAGUAGAUGAGAGGGUGGCGGAAUUUCCGGUGUAGCGGUGAAAUGCGUAGAGAUCGGAAGGAACGUCAAUGGCGAAGGCAGCCACCUGGCAUCAUACUGACGCUGAGGCGCGAAAGCGUGGGGAGCGAACAGGAUUAGAUACCCUGGUAGUCCACGCUGUAAACGAUGAGAACUAGAUGUGGAUUGGGGAACCAAGCCGUAUCGAAGCAAACGCGAUAAGUUCUCCGCCUGGGAAGUACGGCCGCAAGGUUG
rnacentral:rRNA from 1 species